GCCUGCAAGGACGCCGCCCGCGCGGGGAACAGGGGAUUCCGCGGGUGGAGUACCCCAACUCAAAAUUUGACCUGCAGAAUCCUACCCGUGGGAAGACCACGGGAGGCCACCGUGUCAGAGUUGGAGCGUGGGGAUGAAGGCGGCUUAAGAUUGAAAAGGAAAAGCCCAGUUAGAGAGAUCUGCGGGAAGGUAGUAGAGCCCUGAAAGAAAAAGAGGAAUUUAAAAAAGAAAGAAAGAAAGAAAAAGAAAAGAAACGUGGCAGCGAGUUGCAGCCCAAACCCCCUGUGACAUACCCAUCAGUGCUAAUGGCUCCGGCUUUCUAGGUCACCUGUCGCACACUGGAUUCUUGCCGGAGUUAGUCCCUCUCCAGUGUCUUCUCUGAAUUCCCUCUGCUCUCCUGCUAGCUGCAGGCCUUUAUCAGCUCUUACCUCAAACUGCAAUAACCUCUCCUAACUGGUCUUCCCACUCUCGGAUGCUUACACCUUCUGCUUCUGGCAUUUCUGCUGCAGUAAUCUUCUUCUUAUGCCAUACACCUGCCCCUAAAUCAUCAGCCUUUUGACACCGCCAGUAUGGCCCCACCCAUUUCACCUACACAGCUAUAUCCCUGUUUUAGCCUAGAGUAACUGGUCCUUCUAUUGUACUGAAUCGCUUUUGAACCCCUGCUUAUGGUUUUAGUUUAGCCCGGAUAUACCUACCCACUUUAAAUUUUGAAAUCCUAAUUAUACCUCAAGGAACAUUCAUAUGCCACCUCCUUUCCUGAUUCUCUCAAACAUAUGUCAUCUCUCUCUUCUGAACGCCCAUAACACUUCCAUAAUAGUCUAUGACUUGUCUUACUGUUUUAUGUGGAAACGUCGUAAAGAGAGGAACUGGUACAUAACUCCUUUUGUUUUAGCUUGCUCGCUCCCUCACUGUCUCUCUGUCCCUCUGUCUCUCUCUCUCUGUCUCUCUCACUGUGUCUCUCUCUGUCUGUCUCUGACUCUGUCUCUGUGUGUGUGUGUGUGUGUGUGUGUGUCACCUGCACCUGCAUGCUGCUGUGGGCCACAUCUGCAGAGCAGUGCCCACAGAAGCCAGAAGAGGGCAAGGGAUCCUCUGGAAGUGGAGUUAUAUAUAAGAUGAUUGGUAGCUGCCAUGUAGGUGCUGGAAAAUGAAUCGAGAACAGAGGUAUCCUUAACUGGUUCUCGGAGCUCGUGUGAUCGUGUCCCAUGAGCUGCCCACACUCUGAACAUCAUUGCAUCCAGGAGGGUUUCCUCAGAGAAGGACUCUGGUUCUUUACACAUCCAGUUAUCCAAGCUGUUCCGAGCUGAAGCUGCAAGUUGCCAAGCUUCUCAAGCCCAUGGCCUUGGGUCCCAGUCAGCCCCGCCGAGUCUUCUCACCCGAGACAUCUUAUUCCUCCCCAGGCCUCCGCAUCUACUGUGUGCUUUGCAGACUUCGUCAUUUUUGCUACUUCAGUGAGACUAUGUUAUGAACUAUUCUUGGAAAAAUAUCCCCAGUUGCUUCAUAGCACCCCUAAAGCUAACCAUUCCCUUCCGUAGAAAAUGAAUGAGUUAAAAGCCUUGUCAAGCCAAGUAUUUAACAGAGGAAGGUGGGAAAUGGUCACAAGAGCAUUGCCUUUGGACAGGAUUAAUCAGUUUUCACAGGACUGAGUUUUGUUUUGUUUUAAAUGAAAAUUUCCUACUUCCUACUUUUUUAUUCGUGGUAGCACUACCAUAAUUUAGAGGGCACUAUACCUGGUAUAAUAAAAAGGAAAGGCUUCAAGAGAUAAAAGGCCUCAGGGAUGCCCAUCUAAUUGGCACUACAAUUGCAUCAGAGUCCAUGAACUCUGCAGAGUAUGGGUGGGACAGUCCUGAGCAAGCAGAGUUUCUGGUUUUAAGUGACAGUAUCCUUUCUAUGGUUUGUGGCUCCUUCUGUGGCAGACUUGUACAGUAUGGGAGGAUGCCUCAAAGUGACCUGCAGCUCUAACACCUCCUGAUGCAUGCUGGAGCCCUUUUCUGAUGGUCUUAAAACCCCUGGCUUUUAUAUCCAGCUCUUGUACCACGAGAUCCAUAACCACCCCCAUAGACAGGGUCUGCCUGCCCAUCACCUCCCCUUCCUGAGUCCACUAUUUCAUUGCUAUUGUCCACCAUAAUCUCCAAAUGCAGUAUAGCUAUCACCACCACCAAGAUUUCCUCCUUCAUCGUAACUGUCACAUCGUCUUCUCCCAUACCUUAGUGUCCAUAGCUUGGUCCCCUAUAGAGAGCCUCCUCUACUCCUAUAACCAGGACCAUUGCCAUAGUUGUCCUUUUCACCUCCAAAAGACUGUAUCGUCAUCACUCCUCCACAACCACCUCUGCUGCCAACAUCUUCACCAGAAGAGUCUACUCUUUGACUGCAGUUCCCACCUUAGCCAAAACUAACUUCACCAGUUGUAAAGUUGCCAGAUCUACCCCAUGGCCUACUUGUGGUCCAGUAACCACAUUUCUUGUUUAGAAGUCUCGUUCUUCACUUUACAGUCAUGCUCAUGAAUAGUGUGGGAUCUAUAAGCCGUGUCAUCAGCUUAUUUUUGGUCAUUAAACUUA